rnacentral:lncRNA from 1 species
GUUUCUUUGGAUGACAUAACACCGCUGUAGUGUUCUUCUGUGCUUUAUUCUUCUAGGAGUUGUGGUGGCGGUGAUGCCAGUUUCUCCAAGCCCGCCAAGAGGUUGAGGAUAAGGAAUGUGAAGCUAGAUCUUUAGACGUCUGUUUAUGUAUGAAGUGGGGAGAACUGUAUUGUUGUAGUUGGUUGUUCAGUAGCUUAUGUUUUAGUUUGAACUUGAAGUUGAUUGCCAACUUUUUUUUGAUCCAGUCUAGUAGGCAAUGUUUAGAUGAAGUCGUUUUUGUUGUUCACUUUUAUGAUAUCAUGUUUAUGUUGGAUUUUUUGUUAGUUUGCUAACUGGCAUUUGUG